rnacentral:rRNA from 1 species
GACGUAGGGGGCCGGCGUUGUUCGGAAUUACUGGGUGUAAAGGGUCAGUAGGCGGUGCGGCAAGUCGGGAGUGAAAUCUCUGGGCUUAACCCAGAGGCUGCUUCCGAAACUGCUGUGCUUGAGUGUGGGAGAGGCGCGUGGAAUUGCAGGUGUAGCGGUGAAAUGCGUAGAUAUCUGCAGGAACACCCGUGGCGAAAGCGGCGCGCUGGACCACAACUGACGCUGAAUGACGAAAGCUAGGGGAGCAAACAGG